GGAUGCACCCCUCUGUCGAUUGCAUCACAUUGGAGCUCCUCCUCUUACAUUGUCUGGUAGGGGCCUGGCAAGGAAGUGUUAACACGAGAAAUGGAGAUCUCCUAUUCCUGACUCCCUCCUGGAACCAGCACGUCACUCCAGGCCCCCAGAGGCAUUGGCCCUCCUGUGAAUUCAACCAAGCGUGGUGUCCCAUAGCAAAUAUGGAAAACGCCUGGAAAAAGCCACCAGAUGGUGCUUCUCCAUGCCAAAUGAAGCUUCUACUUAAAGGGCAGCUGGGAAGCCUCCCGCCUUUUGUUCACAUCCCACUCCUUGUUUUCCUGCAUGAAGGUAACCCCCGGUGGAGAUAGGCACCUGUGAGAAGUAUCACUGCUUCGUGGGUCAGGGGCUUGGACCCACCAGGGCUGUGUCACCUGCGGACCAUGUGAACUCAACUCCCACCCCCCGGCCCCUGCCCAGCCUCCCCUACCAGGCUCGAUGUAAAGUGAUGGUGAAGUGAAAACAGAUUUGGGGCCCUUGCCACCUCUUUCUGGUUGGUAACUUUGUUUCUUGGACAACAAUGCAGAGUUUGAAGCCCAUCCAGGGACAACAUUCCAUCUGCCCCCUGCAAGUUCCGGUGCGGUCUUCGCUAAGAGGCCAAGCAAGAUGAUGUAAUCACCUGAUGAGUUCCUCCUGCCCACUGCACAGACAAAACCAAUUCACUGAGACGACGGCAUUGCAAUAAAGAAAGAGCUUAAUUGACACAAGAGCCAUUGGUAGGUUUGAAUGAAAGCCAUGACGUCCCGGAACAGGCAGCAGCUGGCUUUGCGUGGAGGGCGCCUUGCGGUGUGCACAUCAUUGCCAGAGGAGGGCAGAGCCCGGGCAGAUGGUGGGUGCCACUGCAGGGGCCCCCACAGAGACAUCUGUCCACCAAGAAUUUGGCUUUGCUGUAUCCCUUCGGGACCACAGUUGGGGACAGUCCUGGACUUCCUGAAGCUCAGCUUUAGGGAUGACAGAGUCUCUCCAGGGGCCCAUUCUGGUUUGAACAUUCCAUCUCUCUGUGGGCUCCAUCACGUCAGCCCUUGUUUACCCAUCUGCUUUGUCACUGCCCGUGUGUCUGUCUCCUCACCCCACCAGGAGUUCUUCAGGAGCGAAGGUGGCAUCUUAUUCCUGGCUGUGGCUCCAGGACCUAGCAAGAGCCCUGAACAUAGUAGGUGCUCAAUAAAUGUGCAAUGAAUAAAUGAUUGAACGAAUGCAUAAAUUGUGCCUUGGUUUUUUCUGCCUUCGUGCUGCUCCAAGGAUCUCCUGAUUACUUCUCCAAGCCCUGCUAUUAGGAAUAAAUCCUCCUCUGUCAUCCUCAGCAAGACUUCCCGCCUCCCAGCUCCCUGCUGACUGGUGGUGGUGGCUUGUUUGG
rnacentral:lncRNA from 10 species